AUUGAACGCUGGCGGCAGGCCUAACACAUGCAAGUCGAACGAGUGGCGGACGGGUGAGUAAUGUCUGGGAAACUGCCCGAUGGAGGGGGAUAACUACUGGAAACGGUAGCUAAUACCGCAUACCCUCGGAUGUGCCCAGAUGGGAUUCGCUUGUAGGUGGGGUAACGGCUCACCUAGGCGACGAACCCUAGCGGGUCUGAGAGGAUGACCAGCCACACUGGAACUGAGACACGGUCCAGACUCCUACGGGAGGCAGCAGUGGGGAAUAUUGCACAAUGGGCGCAAGCCUGAUGCAGCCAUGCCGCGUGUAUGAAGAAGGCCUUAGGGUUGUAAAGUACUUUCAGCGGGGAGGCGUUACCCGCAGAAGAAGCACCGGCUAACUCCGUGCCAGCAGCCGCGGUAAUUC
rnacentral:rRNA from 1 species